AGUGAACGCUGGCGGUAGACCUAACACAUGCAAGUCGAACGGCAGCACAGUAAGAGCUUGCUCUUACGGGUGGCGAGUGGCGGACGGGUGAGGAAUACAUCGGAAUCUACUUUUUCGUGGGGGAUAACGUAGGGAAACUUACGCUAAUACCGCAUACGACCUACGGGUGAAAGCAGGGGAUCUUCGGACCUUGCGCGAUUGAAUGAGCCGAUGUCGGAUUAGCUAGUUGGCGGGGUAAAGGCCCACCAAGGCGACGAUCCGUAGCUGGUCUGAGAGGAUGAUCAGCCACACUGGACCUGAGACACGGUCCAGACUCCUACGGGAGGCAGCAGUGGGGAAUAUUGGACAAUGGGCGCAAGCCUGAUCCAGCCAUACCGCGUGGGUGAAGAAGGCCUUCGGGUUGUAAAGCCCUUUUGUUGGGAAAGAAAAGCAGCAGGUUAAUACCCCGCUGUUCUGACGGUACCCAAAGAAUAAGCACCGGCUAACUUCGU
rnacentral:rRNA from 1 species